rnacentral:rRNA from 1 species
UACGGAGGAUGCAAGCGUUAUCCGGAAUCAUUGGGCGUAAAGCGUCCGCAGGUGGCACUUCAAGUCUGUCGUCAAAGACUGGGGCUUAACCCUGGAAAGGCGGUGGAAACUGAAGCGCUAGAGUGCGGUAGGGGUAGAGGGAAUUCCCGGUGUAGCGGUGAAAUGCGUAGAGAUCGGGAAGAACAUCGGUGGCGAAAGCGCUCUACUGGACCGCAACUGACACUCAGGGACGAAAGCUAGGGGAGCGAAUGGG